AACGAACGCUGGCGGCAUGCCUAACACAUGCAAGUCGAACGAGACCUUCGGGUCUAGUGGCGCACGGGUGCGUAACGCGUGGGAACCUGCCCUUAGGUUCGGAAUAACUCCCCGAAAGGGGUGCUAAUACCGGAUAAUGUCUUCGGACCAAAGAUUUAUCGCCUUUGGAUGGGCCCGCGUUGGAUUAGCUAGUUGGUAGGGUAAAAGCCUACCAAGGCGACGAUCCAUAGCUGGUCUGAGAGGAUGAUCAGCCACACUGGGACUGAGACACGGCCCAGACUCCUACGGGAAGCAGCAGUGGGGUAUAUUGGACAAUGGGCGAAAGCCUGAUCCAGCAAUGCCGCGUGAGUGAUGAAGGCCUUAGGGUUGUAAAGCUCUUUUACCCGGGAUGAUAAUGACAGUACCGGGAGAAUAAGCUCCGGCUAACUCCGUG
rnacentral:rRNA from 1 species